rnacentral:lncRNA from 1 species
GACGGCCUUACCCUUUCUUUUGUAGUAGUUUUUUAUUGCCUAGUGUUCCGGUGCGUCAUCCGAAUCACAAUGAAGUAUUGUUGUUUGCUCUCCUGUUUAUCCCCAAUCGGACGGCGGCAGUGUUGCAAAGAAUCGUUGUUCGAAUUUCGUGGUUCUGGGGAACUCAAAAGGUCGGCUAUUGUUCGUAGGAUUGCUGUUGCAAUAAUGUGAUGCUAAGUCGCGAUUGCUUGAAAUGUAAUUAAUGGUACUAUUAUUGCAAUCUACAAGUACACUUUUUAGUAAUCUCUCUCUUGUGACCGACCGUCUCUAGAGCAAGUGGUAAAGGACUUAAUGAUUGAUAUUCGAGACUCAAGUUCAAAUCCUAGUUGAUUCAUAUUUUCAGCUAAGUUUAUUUCUAAAUGAAAUAAACGAAGCGCGUGCUACUUAUCUCCAAAAAAAAAAUAAUAAUAAUAAUAAAAAAAUCUCUCCCUUGUGAUUUGCAAAUGUUAUUUUGGUUGGUCGACGAUCCAUUUACUCGCUUGCUGCCAUAAUAUAUGCACACCCCAUCUGUGUCCUUAGGGCAAGCCAUCAUUACCUACCCAUACCAAGCGAAAUCGUGUCCUCUCUGUAUAUCAGGCCAUGACCGCCUACUAAAAUCGGUUAAUCGUGUUAGGUCAUUUUGAUAGUAGUUACGAUGACGGUCUCUGUAGUACUCUUUUGCAAAAUACGAUUGCAUUGCAUGAUGUUCUCAAUAUUUUUGCCUUUUAUCUGUUGCAAUGACCCAUUCUCAUGCUAGUACCAGUAUGAUGAUGUAAUUAAUAAUGUACAAUUGGCGUUGUUUUUGGUUUUUUGAGCUUCUUGCUUGGUCUUGCUUUUUAGCCAAUAUCUAGCAUAUAUAGAUAAAGGCAUUCGGCACUUAUAUAUUAAGGUUUCCAUCAUUGCUAGUCUAAGACAGUCGAAGAGACACGAGCAGUCUUAAUUACAUUAAUUUCAUCCCGAAAGUCUAGUUUUUCAGUACGAAUCAUCACUCGAAAGUUAUGUUUCUCUCACACCACCACUAUUCACUGCGCGCGCAAUCUCCAUCAAUUAUUUAUCAGCUGGAUUUUGGAAAUAAGAUGAGAAGGCUGCACAUGCUUAUCUGAUUAAACCAAAAUCCAAAAAAUAAAACAAAAUCUUUGCUUGUCAUAUAUAUUUUGGCAGGGAGGUACUGGAGCCACAGACUGCAUGGCAGACGGUUAAUACAGGUACGCGGACAUUUUAGCUAGCUAGCAACCGUUAGGCUGACAAAUCUUAGCUGGCAUUCCCUUCUUCCCUUUCAUGCGAGUAAACAAUCUCCCUCGUCUGGUGUUUCUUCUUGAUGCUUUUGCUUCUACCUCUCCCAAUAUUUUCAAUAAGCGCCUCUCCUAUCCCUUCUCCGAUUCCCUCAAUCAGCCCUCCGAUAAUUCCGAAAAGCGCAUGUGCUGCAAGCCUAGCUGCUGUCCCUAGAAUGUUAUUUUUCUCCGGCGGCACGAUGCCGUGGACAUAAAGCCCAUUAACCAAGUCUUUCGCACAUACGGCGUGCAGGCAAUAUCCACAGGUCUCGCAUUGAUAAAACCGCCCUGACCUCUUCCUCCUGCACAUUUGACAGAUGCAGCAUGAUUCUCCGCCUGCAUUUGCUACUGCAGACGACAGAGUUAGAGGGUGCUGGUGAGUCAGAAACUCCAUUUCCCUGCUCAUCGCAGCGCAGCAAGGAUGCAUCUCGAAGCUGCAUGAUGUACAGCGGAAGGCGUAUCCUUUAGCAGAUUUCCCACAGAUGUCGCAUUUUGAGUGAAGAAAUCCCCCUACACGUUUGAUAAAGAGGUAAGCAUAAAGUACUUGUUCCACAUGGAUUUGAACAUAAUCACCUGGCUUCUCUAACACAUAAAGUAUGUGUUUGGCAGAAACUAAUAUAACAGAGUUUCUUCUUUUUCUUUCUUUAGUUCCGACAAUCCUAAUGAAAAUUUAAAAAAAAAAAAAAGAAGCUAUUAAUUGUUGUUUUUGUUGUGAGAAGCUUUUACAUUUAUAUUUUCUGCAGAAGCUUCAGCCUGGUCGAACAGGCCCAAGGGAGAUUUUUUAAGAACUACCUCAAGAAAUGCAACAGCAUUUCUCCCCAAUGUAUUUUAACUUAGCAUGCAUGCAUUCGAUCGUAUAUGAAGAGACUUUACCUGGUUUUAUGUAGAAAACAAGUUGAUGUUUGUGAUGGAAGGGAUGGUUAUGAAGUGAUUGGGGAGCCAGUGCACAGAAAUCAUGCAGAUCAAAGCCACAAAUUUGACACCUGAACCUCCUUCCUGCGCCACACUCCUUGCAGCCCAUGCAUGUAAAAAGGUAUGGCAUGUUAAUUUGAACUAAAGGAUGUUGUGGAUGGCUGAAGUGGAAGAUUUCUUGCCCAUUGGUUGGUUUCCGAAUGGCUGGAGUAUCCAUUGAAGGUGCUGUAGUGGGUUCCUUUUGUGGUUUCUCGACUCCUAAUUAAUUUGCUCGUACUGCUUCCACCCUUGAGAACUAAGCUCUCUUUUAGAUAGCUCAGUAUGGCAUCAAAGAAUUUAUACUGGGAGAAAGUAAAAGUGAGGUGUGAUCUUAGCACAUCUUGUACAGGAUUCCAGUGGACAAGUUAUCGUGCUUAAUGAAUCACUAGCAGCUGUAUUACAUUGGCUACUAAAGCUAACUGUGAUAUUCGCCUGAUAGCCAAUUUCACUCAUUCUACUUUAUUCCAUAAUUAAAACUUCCACAGUAGGUUUGGCAGUUAUUUAUAUUCUUUCUGAAAAAUAUUAUCUAUGUAUGAAUUGUCAAUUUGAAUUUUGUUUUUCUUUUUUUCUUUUGUUGUUGUUGUUGUUGUUGUUAUUUUUUUUUUUUUUAAUUAAGAAUGGGGACUGACUUCAAGCUGGAUUAAACAUUUUGUUAAGUAUUCUUCUAGUGUUUCAUCCACUAUCUGUUUAUGAUUUCUUUUCAUUAUUCAUCUUGACUAAACUCAACAAAAUUAAUCACCAUUAGAAUUAUAUCAGUAUGUUGAUUUCAAUUUAGGUAAAAGCUUGGCUGCCACCAGCACAGGGAAUCGCUGGAAUCUACAUGAAAUUGCAAUUCACCAAAUCACAAAUCAAAUUUUGAUUGCUCGUUGGGAGUUUUUUGUUUUAGGACUUUGCGACAAACAGUGGGACAUCGCAUUCUUUUACCAAGUGCAUGACGCUUGUCGAAAAAGUUCAUGAUGAACUAGAAGAACUUUUCUCAGUAAUACCUAUGGAAGCAUUGAAAAAUUAAAUUUUAUCACGGCAAGAUUUAAGCGAGAUAAUAGGCUCAUCUAUUUAUUUGCUAGAAGCUAUAGAAAAGGAUUAGAAGUGGUUUUUUUCUUUUUUUUUUUUUUUUUUUUUUUUCUAGAGUGGUUAUAAAUCGAAAUUAGAUUGCCAUAAGAACGUCAUUUUUUUUAACCAUGAUUUCGAGGUUGUAAAAGGAAUUAUUAUUCUUUUUAUCACAGAGCAGUGCAAAAAGGUAAGAAUUAUAUGCCUUUUCUUACAAGCUGUCUGUUUGUGGAAUACUCUGCUGAGUAUUACUCUCAGAUUCUUCUUGAUGAUGUGAAUUGAUCGAAAGCGUAGCCGGCCCCUUCAGGUGGGUAGCAUGGUGACCGGCCAAAAAAGGUGCGCUUUCUUUCCCUUUUGCGGGCUUUCUCUUGUGGUUCGUUAUUACUCUUUGCCAAACAUUUCUAUUCUCCAUAAAUGUGGCUUGUACUUCAAUCCAUGUUACUUUUGAAGACACCCUGCGAGAGAACUCUCUUAUAAGAUGCCAGAUUGGGCUUGAUGAUUUCAUCGGGCAUUCAUUCAAUAAGAAACCGAGAAAUGUUUAUAUCUCAAUAAGUAAGAUUGACUGUAUGACUUAUUUAGUGUCCUGGAUCCGCAAGUCUACAUUGGCGGACACCCUUAGUUUAAAUGAUUAGUUUAUUCACCCGCUUAUUUAUGUCUUUGUUUGUUCGCGUUCUAUUAGGAUUUAGGAAUUAGGAGGAGACACUAGACAGCAGCAAGCCAGCAAGCAAAAGCCUCUUAUUACAGGCCAAGGGUGCGUCUCUCUACACCGCAUAAUACAAGGCCGACAACAAUUCUGAAGCUCCCCGAAUCCUCAACGAUCCAAAUUGGCGAAAGGCCCCCAAGCUACGACCAGGCCCAAACGGAAUUACUGACUACUUUGAGGCCCACGAGUGCCUACAAGAGGGCGGGCCGAUGGCUAUAACGCCGUAUUUAGAUAGAUGGACACGAACAAGUAUUUGGGUCGGGAAGGUGGUAUUCAGAACGACCGUCAUUUGCAAACGCAAACGCAAACGGGUCGAACCGGCCUGUGGGCCUCAACACAUGUGACCUCGUGUACGGGUGACAAGACCCAGGUCUGCCUAUCCAAUAGCCUUUGAAAUCCAAAAUCAAAAAUAGUGACCCAGGUCGUACUUAUUACCCCCCUUAUAAUAGUGAAAAGAAGAUAAGGUGUUCCCCAAAUCAGAACUUCUUAAUUGGUAAAAAAAAAUACCAGAAAAAAAAAACCAAAAACACUACAUGCUACAAGCCCUUCAGAAUGUUGUAUUUGUAUGUCGUAUGAUACAUUAUUAACUAAUGAUGAUACUUAAUUAUGAUAUAGAAUAAGUUGAUUGGUUCCCACACGUAUUCCAAAAAUAUAAUAUUAAUUUGCUCCCGGCUUCUUCAACUCAUGUAGUCAACAUUUUACCAAACUAAAGCAUUUUUUUGGAAAAAUAUUCAGUGCAAAUUUGUCAUGUACAACCUAGGUAUUUUUAGCGUCGAUAGAAUAACAAUACAAAUAGCCGUAGAGAGAGCUCCUAGAGGGUGAGCUGUUUUUAUCUUUUUCUCCGGGAAUUAGUUGCUUCUAAAGCUAUUUUAAAGCAUGCAGAACUCUGCUUUGUCAAAGUUCUUAAACUUUAUGUGCGCACAAAUUUCUGAUGUACAUUUAUACGGUUUGCCAUUACAAAUGCAUAAUAAUGCUUACCGAGUACUCUGGCCAUCUUCCUGAUUGUCAAACUUAAAUCUUUAUUUAAACCUAAAACUAAAAUUAAAUUUUAACGAUGCAAAACAAUUGGUUAGAGCACAAGCAUAUAUUGUUACUUAUACGCAAUGGAGGAGACUUUUAGUGGUCCAUAUCUUAUUUAUGGCUACCUCUUGGUACCUAUUUUUUAUUUGACAAGAACCCUUUAAAAAGAUAAAACACGGAAAAAGGAGCAUAAUAAAAAUUGGAUAAUGUCAUUUUCUAUGCUCGUCUUGAUGGCCGUGUUUCAUAGGUAGAGCAAAACAAUAAUACCAUUCAUGUCUCUUCAAACGCGGAGCAAGUCAAGCUCAACAACGUCAGCAAUAGUGAUUCUGUGUUCUGGAUUAAUUUUUAUUUGAUUACGCAAGCCGUGUUCAGAUUGUGGUUCAAUUAAUUGACCUAUUAUAUUUAACUAGCUUAGUGAUAUACCAACGUCUGAUUACAUUUCUAAUGUAUCUGCAAGAUGCUAUUUUACAUUGGCUGACGCUGUUAAUUUAUAUAUUGUGAUUUAUUCGGUUGACUAAACUAACCCAUAUUUGAGAUUUUUCUACAUGUUUGUGAUGUGUCUAAUAAUGAAAUAAACUACAUAAGGUACAUUUUAGCAGAUAAGAACAGCUGGCAUUCCCGUGCUUUGAGGGGGUAUUUCAAAGCAUUAUAUCAUAUGUCGGCUGUUCCAAUUAUUAUUAUUAUUAUUAUUAUUAUUAUUAUUACAUGCGACGUACUCCUUGGAAGGGGAAGGUAUGCUAACGGCCAAUUUGGCAUCUCCCUGCAUACCUAAGAGGGUUUCAUUGGAAGGGGGUACUCUAUAUCCAAGCAACGGGGGUAGCUUGUCUCUACUAUUCUCUGCUCCAAAAAACAAAUAUUAUCUGUUGCAACUGCACACUAACUAGUUCUUUUUUUUGUUUGGGGAAAAUUUUUUUAAAAAAUGUUCUACUAGUUUGCAGUAGCAACAGAUAAUAUUCACUUUUGCAACAGAGAUUAUUAGAGACAAACUAGCAGAAUUAAGAGAACGAAUUGAGGCACUAUUUCAUCAAAAUACGAUCGGUUAGGAAGGUAUCAUCUUGUUCUAAUCAAUAACAAUUUAUCUUUAAACGAAAUUAAGGAGAUCUUCGUAAGUUAGCACAACACAGCUUAUUAUUAGAUUACAGCGAUUUCAAGAUAAAUUAGGCAAUAGAUUGCAUGUAUUUUUUCGGUCUGUAUUCAACACUGGCUCAAUAUAUUCCCAUUAACAUCGGUCUCACAGCGUGAAAAUCAAGAUUUAACAGUUAAUCUUCUUUUAAUAUACAGGAAAUUGGAAAAAAAAAAAAAAAAAAGAAAAAUUGUCAUUAUUGUUGGAUUAUUCUCUACCUGGGUAAUAUUUUUUUUUCUUUUUUUCUAAUCAUUUUAUAACCAUAACCUGGCAACCUCUAUGUACUUGUGUCUUAAUUUUAAAUUGCUUUGAAGUUAUGUCAUUUUGAAUAAAUUUUGGCAUUUAUUUAUUUAUUUUUUUUUUGAGAGAUAGGUAGCACGCUAUCUGUCUCGUUUAUUUCAUUUAAUAAUAAACUUAGUUGAAAAUAUGAAUCAACUAGAAUUCGAACUUAGGAUCUCGUGUACCAACCAUCAAAUUUUUUGCAUUUGGACAAUUCUUGCAAAAUUUUCUUACUUUAAUGAAAAAAUACAUAUCCAUUACAUUAAUAUCUUUCUUCCUCACCAAUACAAGUAUCGUACACAAUUAACCAAGAGGAUAUAAUGAUUAGUAUUCGAAGUUUUAGAUAUAAAAUUUAAUUAUUUUGUAUUCCUAGCUAAGUUUAUAUGUAGAAAAAAUAAAUAAUAUUAGGUUUUUUUGUCCUCUCAAAGAAAAGAAAAAAUAAAAUCCCCCGUUCCGUGCACCCUGAUCAUCAGAUCCAACGGCUGAGGAUGCGCUGGGGUGAGUGUCAUACUCCACGCAGCAUCGACCGUUAAUAGGAUAGGGGAGGGAAAUGAAUCUACGGCAUAUCCAUUAGGUUUUAGCGAACCGCCAAUAUAAAUUUCCCAAUAACUUAUAUCCGGCCCCCUUACUCCUCUUUCUCUCUCUCUCUCUCUCUCUCUCUCUCUCUCUCUCUCUCUCUCUUUCUCUUUUUUGCUCCAACGCCUCCCUCUCUGUUUCUUCCCCUGCUCUUCUUCUCUUCUUUCUUUUUAUUUUAUUUGUUUUUUUCUCUGCCCCGCGAGAAUUCCUUCACCAACCCCCUCUGCGAAAAUGGUUCGAGGUUUCUAAAGGUAAAACAUCAAAUGCUGAGAAAAACCUAAUUCUCCGUUUCUCGAUUGAUCCCUCCGCGGUCUGUUUCUGAGACGCGCGUAUAGAAUGCGUUCUACCUCUCCUUUUGCCGGCUCUACUCUGUUCUAUUUAUUUCAGCGCGUAUAUUUAUCUAUCGGAAGGAGAUAGCCGGUGGAGGAGCUGGCGAUCGAGAGAGAAUCAUCUCCAAAAAGAUAGGCUUUGUGCGGAGUAAGCUGAAGAAAGUUAUGGUAAAAGCUUCUUUCCCUUUUCCCUCGCCCUCCCCUCCUCUGCUUCUUCUUCAUCUUCAUCUUCAUCUUCAUCUUCUUCUUCUUCUUCUUCUUCUUCUUCUUCUUUAAAAAAAAAUCUCCUUUCUGCUUUCUCCUUUCUUUAUAUAAUAUUCUUGCUCGUUUUUUGAGUACUAGCGUGGGGAUGGUUGGUUUUAUGGGGAUAAGAAAUUAACAAUAAAUAAAUAUAGGUGGGUCGGAUGAUUCGGAUGGGGAACGAGGACGCGGGUGGUCCGGCGUGGCUGAGGCCGCUGCUGCAGACGAGCUUCUUCGUGCCCUGCGAGGUCCACGCCGACUCCAGCAAGAGCGAGUGCAACAUGUACUGUCUGGAUUGCACCGGCGACGCCCUCUGCUCCUACUGCCUUCCCCGCCACAAGGACCACCGCGUUGUUCAGGUCCCCCCCCNCCCCCCUCCUUCUCGCUUGCUGGACUGGAUACAUGCUUCUGCUUGCUUUUUGCGAAUUUGAUUGGUUUGUAUUGACUAUUCGUGUGUGUGCGUGUGCGUGUGCGUGUGCGUGUGCGUGUCGAUCGAUUGAACUGAAUUGAACUGAACUGAAUUGAAUUGGCAACUUCCUCUGGGCUUUCUUCUUCUUCUUCUUCCUUAGAUUCGGAGAUCGUCGUACCACAACGUGAUCAGGGUGUCGGAGGUGUCCAAGUUCAUAGACAUUUCGUGCGUGCAGACCUACAUUAUCAACAGCGCCAAGAUCGUGUUCUUGAAUGAGCGGCCGCAGCCGAGGCCCGGGAAGGGCGUCACCAACACCUGCGAAAUCUGCUGCCGCAGCCUCCUCGACUCCUUCCGAUUCUGCUCCCUCGGCUGCAAGGUUAAUUAACUAAUGCGCUCUUUUGCCGUACAUAUCGAUAUGCAAGGGCCCCAUUCUAAUUACACUGCAAAAUAAAAGCUUCCAAAAAAAUUUUCCUUCUCCUCGUUUGGUCCGAUCGUGUAUUUGGCUUUAACAACUUAAAUUGGUUUUCUUUCGAGUAACUUCUACUCUGUUUGAAAUUCUAGGCAACGUGCUCUUCCCUUUUUUUAGUAUGUUUUUGUUUUUUUUUUUUUUGUGUUUUAAAACUCUACUCAACUCAACUGAAACUGAAUACUUCCUUGCGAUAGAGAUAAUGAUGAAUCUUCUUUCGAUGUGAUCGAGCAUUGCUAUAUGUUGUGAACUCGAGGGGUUUUUCUUCGUGUGUUUUUUUGAUCUUGGUUUUAAAAAAACACCCACAUGUCGGUUUUAGCAUCGACGGGUUCUGUAUAAUCUUUCAGGUCGAUGUCUUGAUCAAAUGAGCUACAUAACGCUAUCUUCGGAGACUUAAACGCAAUUCCCACUUUCGGUUUCUUUCCCGUCUGUACCUUAACCUAUUGAUUAGGAUUGAACUUGAAGUGGAACCCAUCACCUACUCUCAUUCCUCGUUGGUCGUACAUAUCGGCCUUUAACCAAAAAUUUUACUAACUGAAAAUGCACUUUCUAUCUUUCCUUUUUUUUUUUUUUUUUUUUUUCUCGUUCAGCUGGGAGGCAUGAAGCGCGACCCGGAGCUGAGCUUCACGCUGCGUCCGAAGCCCAAUCGGGAUUCACUGCACGGAUCAGAGUCCGACGAGUCGUCCACCCCGAGAAAGGUCCGAAGAACGACGGGCUUCAUGAAUCGCUCCAUCGAGAUUCCCAUGGCGCCGUCCGAUGAUGAAGGAGGACACCUGACGAGCAGCAUUUCUCCGGGCACGCCUCCCAUCAUCAGCUACCGCACGUCGAGGCGAAAGGGUACACCACAGCGCGCUCCAUUCUAAUUAGAAAGAGAUAAGAUUCUGCAAAAAGAGCGGGCAAUAAUGAAAGAAUAAUUGAGUAGAAAAGGCAAAGAUCCAAUGCAUGUAGGAAGACAGACAAACAUCCAGCCACAUACAGUAAAUUAUCUUAGAAAUAAUAUACCCCCGGUAUAAUGUAAAGGACAUGCUGAAAUGAUGACUAAACAUAUAGGAGUUUAUAAGAGAGCGUAGGAAAUUACGGAACCCAAAUUAAUAAGCCUUCCACUCUUCUGGUGUGGGUUGUUUUCAGGUUUUCUUUAAUUACGUCCCUAAAAAUGUGUAUAUAUAUACAACUUAACUGUAUGUAUUCUUCCGGAAUCUAUAGGCACGCUGUAGGUCUUUCGAAUGUACAGAUAGCAUGCAGCCGUGUAAAAAGGAAACAAAUUAUUAUGUACAAUAUAUGUAUGUAGACUUCGAUCUCUGCGUUGAUGGAGCACGGUACUCAUCCUUUCAGGUCGUGUUCUGGGAUCGGUUCAUUAUGUAUAAUAAAGCUUUUCUUAAUGCUAUAUUGCUAUAUAUAUAUAUAUAUAUAUAUAUAUAGAGAGAGAGAGAGAGAGAGAGAGAGAGAGAGAGAGAGAGAGGAUUCGUUCUCAUUUAUUUAUGUGUAUAAACUCGAUCGAUCAGUGGAUCAGCUAUUGUCUAUAGUGUGCUUUAGUGACGGCUGCAUCCAUGCGUGGCAUCACCUCCCAUCUCCUCCUGCCAAGGAGAAAAUAGAUAACUUAAAAAUGGGCUCUAUAUUCUCUCUAUGGCAGCAGGUACAAUAAUUUAAGGCCGUCUUUAGUCUUAUAGUUAUUAGCUCCGUGGCAACCUCGCCAAAUACAGAUCGAGCGCGCCUGUGGUGUAAUGAACGGUAUGGUUGAUCACUCGCGCUGGGAGGGCUACGGCUGGGCUACUUGGGUUGUAUUGGGUAAGCGGGUAAUAAUACAUACAUAUGUCGGGCUCGUACAAUCGGGUAUUAUGUACAUAUAUAAUAUUAUGCAACUGUUGGUUGGUUGGUUGGUUGGUUGGUUGGUUGGAUGGAUGGAUGGAUGGAUGGACGGACGGAUGGAUGGUGUUGAACGGAUGGAGAUGCAUCCGGUGGCAUCACAUCGGGGAAGUGACUUGGUGGACACGACACAAGCCAUGGAAAGAGACCUCCGCCUUCGCUCGCUCCUCUCUUUCUCCUUCUCUCUCUCUCUCUCUCUCUCUUCUUUCCCUCUCCCUCUCUCUCUCAAAAAGAGCCGUGAGGAAUCCCGAAAGCUAGAGUGUGAGGGCCAUCCUAUCUUUUCCAUCACUUUCCCACCCCCCACUUAAUCUUAUGCCGCUGCUGCUGCUGCUUGCGAUUACUUCGUCCCUUAAUUAAAUAAUUAAUCUGAUCUAAUCCCCCAAGAAGAUCCAUCCGUGUGAAGUAGACAAAUUAAUUAAACAGCAAAUUAAUAUUAUUAAUUAGUUGGCAUUAUACACGCAUGUAUAGCACCUCCUCUUUAAUUAAUGAAAUGGCUUGCUGAGGUGGGACCGGAUUAUAAUACUAAUCUUGACUAAGAUCGCUUAUUACUCUUGUAGCUGGGGAACUGAUGGAAGAGAUUAUUUUAUUAUUAUUAUUAUUAUUAUUAUUAUUAUUAUUAUUAUUAGUAGUAGUAGUAGUUAAUUCGAUCGAUUAAUAAGUGCUAGAAUCGCGACGGCCCCUAAAGUAACGCCGUGGGAUGAAAACUCCCUUUCCGUUCUCUGAGGCUGGGUCCAAACAGCGACCUUCGUUCUCAUCAAAUCACAUCCAGACGCGGAUGUCAUAGUGUAUCUCUUUUUCUAAAGUUUUUUUUUUUUUAAAAAAAGUUUCUUUUAUUCUAUCCUUUCUUAAUUAAUACCUUUCUUAGGGAAAAUGCGCACUAUUCUAAACAGUACCGGCAUUUAUGUUAUUUAAUUCUCUCUCUACUUCUGAUGGAUGGAAGGGUUGCUCGGUACAAAUUUUUAUGUCCACAAAAAUUUAAUCUAAAUUCCAGUAUCAUUGUUAGAGCUUCGAUGGUAACAAUCCCAAACCUUCCUUUUGAUUUUAUAUCAAAAUUUCAAACUUGAUAUAAUUCAGGCUCUAAAUGAGAACCAAACAUUUGUCUCCUCCUGAGAAGGAAUUAAUAAUAUAUUUUACGCAUUACAAACUGUCAAAAGUGAAUUGCUGUAAUUGAAAUAAUUAGGAUGAAGCUGAAUAGGAUCGAGUCGAACUAAUUUGCAAAUGAUCGAUCUUUGAUGAAGUAAGAGAAGGAAAUUAAGUGUCCUCCCAGUCCCUUCCGUUGGCCCUUGGCCCUUGCCCCUUGGGUGUGUCGUGCUCUGCCGAUCGAGUACUUGUAACCUACCAAGCCCACCGCCUUGGGGUCAGGCCGGGGUGCUACUCAAUUACGUACGCACUAUAAAAAGACAAAUUAAGUGCAUAUAUACAACAAGCGGUUGAUGGAUCCAGAGGCUUCUAUCUCCUGGAGUCAUAUUUAGCUAGAGCGCAGCAGAUGAGACGAAUUGUGAGUGGGACCUACAUUGGAUGUGGAUUGUGGGGCUGAUAUUUAUAUUACAUGCACAGAAAUACUAACUUUACAAUCCUCCAGCAUUUUUUUUAAAUUUUUAAUAAGUAUAUAUAUAAAAAAAAAAGAAGAUAAGAUUAGUAUUUAUUGGAUGACAAAAUACUUUUAAGAUAUAUAAUAACAAAAUAAAAAAACAAUAAUAAUAAUUGUAGGACUAAUUAACAUUGCAACAUUGCCGAUGUUUGUGUGUUGCUAUGUUUCGUCGUCCGCUGACCCCACAUCAUCUCCUCAUUUUGUUUCUCAUCUGCUCAGACAAAAUUUAGAUUAAUAGAAAAUGGAAAAGUUUGCAAGGCCCCUUUUGGACCCCGAGGUUGUGUGAUAGAAGCCCAUUUCUGGAUGAGGACGAUCGAUAACAUUGCAGCUUCCAACAAGCUCGGUGCUUUAGGUAGGCCAGCCAGCCAGGGACUGCAUGUUUGGCGUUUGCAUGUCCUUUUCUGCAUAUUUCUAGAGAAAGACGGCGACACACGCGCGUGUAUAUACUUGUGGCAUCAAGAAAGUUAAAGAGUUAAAAAAUUAUCUUAGGGUUUCCAUGAAUUUAGCUCUCUUAACUAAAUGGUGGUGGCGCUUCUUCAAUGAACCUAACCUCUCUUGGUACAUAUUAAUUAGAACUAUCUACUAUUUUAGAAGAAGGCCACUGCGCGAUCAGAGGGCCUAGCCUUCGUCCCACACUCGCAAUGGUGGAAAGGAGUGCUCUGCUGCCGUGAGGUUUUCACCUGCAGUAUAACCUACGAGUUAGGGGACGGACACAACAUCAGGAUGUGAUCUGAUACUUGGAUUGGCAAAUCUCCCCACAGCACGCUUUUCCCGGACAUCUUUGCGAGCAUCAUAAACAAAGAUGCCCGACUUGCCCAGUGCUGGAAUGCAAAGGGGUGGCGAUGGCGGUUCAUCUGUCGUGGUUUCGCGGUAUCCCGAUCCGCUGAAAGGUGCGCCCAGCUGACAACCAGACAUGUGCAAAUGGCGGUGGACUUCGAAUAAACUUUUUACUGUCAAGUCCCUCUAUCGGUUCAUCACUAACGCUGGACAGUUAAAUCAGACACACGGCGACAUUUGGAAGCUGAAAAUUCCAAUCAAAGUCAAAGUUUUUAUCUGGCUGUUGCUCCGAAAGAGAUUACUCACAGCUGAUAGGCUGCUAAGCCGGGGCAUGGUUGUCGACCAACACUGCGUUCUUUGCGCUGUGCUAUCGGAAAGCUGCGACCAUCUUUUUUGCACUUGCGUCUUCGUUUGUUAUUUGCUCUUUAGUGUAGGCGGUUCGGGCGUACCUAAUGACAUCCCGGGCGACGUCUGCAGGCUCUGGGCAGACACCUCUGCCGUUUUGGCUGAUCUGACGGGAUCAAAAGGCCUUAUCUUUCUAGCCGCAAUCUGGUGGGUGGUUUGGAGAGACAGAAAUAACUCUGUGUUCCAGGCGAUACCGAUCAACGUCAGUCGUUCUCUCGAACGGGUCAACCUCCUGAUGAGCACCUGGACCACGCUGCGCUAAUGUAACUGCUAGUCUGUUUGCCUUCCUCCCUCUCUUUCUCCCCUCGCUCUCUCUUCUCUUUUUCUUCUCCUUGUCUUAAUCCUAAUUCUUUACCCCUCUUCGGAGGCCUUAGCUGCUUUCAUCAUGUAUGGUCUUCGGAGGCCUUAGCUGUUUCCAUCAUGUAUGCUCAGUUCAUUUUACUUAAUUAAUGAAGCAGAUAGCUUGCUAUCUUUUUCUCAAAAAAAAAAAAAAUCUUCGGGUCCAAAAUUACCAAAUUACCAAAAAUCAAAACUUAAGUAGGCAAAAAACACAUUCGUAAACUAAAUAAAAAAUAAAAACCAAAUUAUUUUUAGAUAAGAAAUAAAUUUAUUAGCCUCACAUAUAUAGCACCGUAUACUUAUUUAUAAUUAGAUAUAACUAAGGACAAAAUACUCGAAAACACUUAGACAACAUAUUGGAGAGGAUUUUUUUAUGUAAUUUAAUAAUUUAUAAUAAUAAUAAUGACAUAACAAUUUUGAAAAGAUAUCCAUAAUGUUUUAUAAUUUUUUUAAAAAUUGUUUAAUAUUACUUUUAAUUUAAAAAUAUUAUAUAUAGGGUUAAUUUCAUAAAUACCCUCAUACCCACCCAUAAUUAUAUAUAUAGUUACUCUCGAAAAGUAGCCAAUAUAAAAAAUGCCCUUCAAAUUUUGUAUAAAUUAUAAAACUACUGAUAUAUCCAUAUUCCAACAAAUUAUAGGGCUUAAAUUAAUACCCUGUUUUACCCCUCUAACCCUUAGAACUAUUGUAAUACAUAUUUUAUGAUCAAGAUAUUAUGUAUUUAUUAUAAUUAGUUUUCUAAUUUAAUUUAAUUGUUUUAAUAUGUUUUCAUUCCGACUAAUUUAGUAUGCCUUUAUUUUAUUCCAUCAAGUUAGUAUAUAUUUAUUUUAUUUGUUUAAUUAUGCAUGGAUAAAUUAGAUAUCUUUUAUUAGAUUUAUUUUUAGAUUUUUAUAUUAUUGUAAAUGUAGUUUGGUAAUUCUUUAUUUUAGCUUCGAUUUAUAUUGCUAUGAGUUUAUUUCGUAUUUGUACUUUUAUAGUUUACUUUGAUUACUUUUUAAAUCUUUAUAUUAUUUUUUAUACAUAACUUGUUAGUUUGAUUUAUAUUAUUAUACUUCCAUUUCAAAUUUAUAUUUUUAUAGUUUUCUUGAUUAUUUUUAUUUGUACUAUUUUGUGCCUUUUGAAUUAAAAAAACUAUUCUAAGUGAUAUAAAUUAAACUGCAAGCUAUACAUUAUAUAAUAAUUAAUUAUUUUUAUGAGGGAUAAAUAGGUUAUUUUGUAAUUUAAAAUUUAAAAAAUGACAAAAAAGAGUACUUAUGAUAUAGAUAUAUAAUUUUGAAAUGAUAUUUUAUAAUAUUUUUCAAAUUUUGCAAGAUACGUUUGAAAUUAUUUCUUAUAUAUAUAUAUAUUUAAUUAAUAAUGUUCCUAAGGAAAGAAAAGGAGUAGCAUGUUUUGUUUGUGUUGAUCGAGGCCUUUGGAGAAGAGACACGGGCAAGUGGAAGAAGUUGGAACUGGCGCCGGAGCAUGAGUUUCAGCGCAAGCCUCUGAUGAAUUAAAUAGAAACCUGUGAACGGCGUGGAUCCGAUCGAGGGAGGGCCCACCCCAGCUGGGAACCUUACACGUGCCGCGCCCGAGGUCGAGGUUUAAGAUUUAUCCGGGGAGGGGCCCUGCUUGUUGUUCUUGUUCUUGUUCUUGUUCCCUCGUUUCGUUUGUUGUUGAUGCACGUGCAGGAGGGAGCCUGGCACGUGUGACACCUUUCUUGUGCCGAACAAAAUUGAGCAAUACUAUUGGUUCAUUACAAAAAUGUUAUCAAGUAUAUUUCUAUAAUAUAUGUAAAUUUUAUAUUUUAAAUUAUUUUAAAGAUAUUUUUUUAACUUAUUUUUUUUUUUGCUAAAAUUUUAAAAAAUUCUGUAAACUCUAAAAUAAAAUGACUAUAAAAUUUACAUCUAUAUAUAGGUAUACAAGUAGAAUUUUUCAACAAAUUAUGCAUCUAGCACGCUAUUGUGUGAUAAUUACCAUUGUAAAUAAUUUUAUUUACAGUUAAAUAUAAUAAAAUCUUUUUGUUUUUUAAUUCGUAUAAUGGUUGAGCGCUUGUGUGGUGCUUACACUUUCUCACACCUUGCAAAAAUAAAUAAAUAAAAAUUAAAUUGACAGGACUUUUAAAUUUUACUGAUUUUCUCUUUUUUUUAAAAAAAGAUAAAUUUACUAAAGGGGUAAAGGCUAACGAGAGUGUCGUUUUGCUGUUGGGUUGUAUUCGGCCUACCCCAGGUAAAGUGAUGCAGCAAGCGCAAAGACGACCUGUGGUGCUGGACCUGAAUAAAUUUUGGUAAAGCUGUGAAUAGAACUAUAUACAAAUGAAGUUGUUGUUGUUGUUGUUGUUUUUUUUUUUUUUUUUUNAUUUAGCUGAAAAUAUGAAUCAAUUAGAAAUCGAACUUACGACUUCGGAUACCAACCAUCAAAUUUUUUACCAUUUACGCUAGAAACAGUCGGUACAAAUAAAGUUGUUUUGAAGUGAGCUUUUUGAGGAGAUCUCAAGCGAUUAAACUUUAGCUGCAUAUAUUUUAGUUGUAGACACUCAAUCUUGUCGAUAUUUUAAUUCAGAUUUAUUACAACGUAUUCUACGCAUGAAGAUACUCACGUUGAACUCAAGCAAUUCUACUGUGAUUCACAUGUAUAUAUAUCCGUCUAAUUUGCACGGUAUGCUUAUGCAUCGGCAUUUAUCCAAUCCUCAUGAAUGGGUGAAAAAGGUUAGCGCAAACUUAGGUCUCCCGUCCAGUGCUCCUGAUAGGGCAAAGAGUAUAGCCCAAAAUAUGUAAACAAACUGCCAAAUAAAUUAAUAAAGAUUCCUAGCUUGUUUUAUCUUAUUUAUUACUCUACAUGCUUUUCCUCAAAAAAUUACAAUACAUUUUAAUCAGUUAAUUCUCGGUAUACCUCUAUGUUUGUUUUUAAUUUCACAUCCCUCUUGUGGUUCUCUUGUGGUUUAGCAAGUGAGAUUAAUACUCUUUAAAAAGCAGUGUAUAUAUUUCCGGCUUUAAUUGUUUCUCUAUAAUGAAUAUUAGGCCAAGGAACGCUAUUAUUUGAAAAUAUAUAUGUGGCAGAAGAAUAGAAAUAAAUCACGUACUAAUUCAAUCUCUAGCUCUGUGCUUAAACGUCCUCCACAAAAGCAACUGUUUGAUCUGCAGCAGGAUUAGCAAUGCAUCGAUAUCUGUACGUAGUUUAUAUCGUGUUUUCCCCUAUUUUGUAUGCAUAGUAGCUUUGUUGUUGGGCUAAGUAACCGUUCAAUUAACUGGUACAUGCGUGGCAGUGUCAUGGGCUUCAAAUAAGAUCAUGACUGGUUACUCAAUUAUUAUUAAUUUUUAAUAAGAGGUGACAGGUUUAAGUUUUCCGAUCGUCGUAGAGGAUAUGAUUGUGAAUCACUGGUGGCUCCCCGGCCAAACCUGGCCUUCUCUGGCAUGAAAAACAUGGGCCCUCGCCAUUGCAGGCUUGGGCCUCGGCCCAAUAAAGCUAGGCUUUUGGAUUUACAAUAGUUUUGUAGACCAUGAUUAUCAAAUGGCAUUCCUCCUGGAAGAAUUUUGAAUUAUGUACUAAAGAAUUUGAUAACACAUGAGGUAUUCCUCCUGGAAGAUUUUUGAAUUAUGUCCUGAAGAAUUUGAUAACACAUAAACCUCAUGCACGACUAGAAGCUCCAAAUUGAAAUCAAGACAAGUGUGCUCAGAUAAUAUGGGAAAGCCCUAGCAAAAUUUAAGGGCAUGUUUGAGUAUUUGACUUGAAGAAAUGAUCAUUUCAGCAAAAAUUAAUUUUGGUUAAUAAUUAUAGAGCAUUUGGGUGAGUCUAAAUAGAAAAUUAUUUUUUAAAAUGAUUUUGUACAAAUGUUAACAAAAAAAUUUAAUUGUUUACAAAUAAUAAUAAUUUCUUAAAUUUUACUUUAAAAUAAUAUAAAAUUAAAAAUUUUGAAUUCAAAAUCUAAAUCAGAAUUCAAAUUUUGACAUUUGAAUUAAAAUUAUAAAUUUAAAAUUUAAAUUUCAAAUUUUAAACUUCAAAUUUACUGUUUAAUUCAAACUUAAAAUUAAAACUAAAAUUUCAUUCUAAAACUAUAAUCAGAUUUCACAAAACAGAUUUUACCUGCUUCUAAUUUUGAAUCUUUAAAAUUUAAAAAUUAAUUUUAAAAUUCAAAAUAAAAUUUAUAAAAAAAUUAUCAAAGGAUCUAUUAAAAAAAUUACUUUUAGCAUUAAAGUCACUUUUAAGAAUCUACACUAAACACCCACUCAUAAUAAAUGAGCUGACUCUUCGACCUUCCCGAAAAAUAGUUGGAGUAAAAAGAAUUCUUUACUCCACAACUAGCGACCAAUCUAUCCAAUAUCAUUAAAGGGUGAACCCUUAACCAAUUUGCUGUGUUCUCCGUGAUUUCGGACGUGCUCUCUCUGAGAUGUAGGGCCCUCACUACAACAAAAACGGUCUAUAGCGACACUUUUAAAUGUAGGUACAUGUCAAAAAAGUGCUGCUAGCUAAAAUUACCGACACUUUUAAAAUGUGUUGCUAUAUGUGGGGUCGCUAGAUAUAUAGUGACAGUUAAAGAGUGUCGCUAUAACCUAAAAGAGUGCUGCUAAUUUACCAAUACUUAUUUAACCAUUUAGCAACCAUCGAAACUCAAUCUCGUUGGCUGCGGCGGCGGAGGAGGACGACAGGAAAGGCUCUUCGUCUAGAAUUUCAGUGGAUUGAGUGAAAAGAGAAGAAAAGAUGGUAAUUGAUUUUUCUUUUUUUUUUUUCUGUUUGUAAUGGGGCCAAAUGGACUGGGUGUGGUGGGUUGAGUAGAGUAAUCUUUUAUUUUUGGUUGGAUUGGAUUUUAUAUUUAGGCAUUAGUAGAUAUUUUUUUAAGUUUUAGCAUAAAUGGGACACUUACUCAAAAGUGUCCCAAACAUGUGUCGCUAAAACCUAAUUCUGUUGUAGUGCCUAUCCUUCUCUCGCAUACUGUGGUCUCUCUGAGAUAUGGGGCCUAUCCUUCUCCCUAUUCAUCCUCCUCCUAUGCUACUCUCUCUUACCCUCUCUCUUUUUCUUCUCUCGCCGCCUCUACAGAUUUUCCGGGAUUCCUCUUCCCCUCUCAACGAACCCUAACCCUUUCUCAUUUUCUUUUCUCUCCGCCUCUACAGAUUUUUCGGGAUUCCUCUCCCCCUCUCAACGAACCCUAAUUUCGCCUAGGGUUAGUACUCCCUCUGGCGCAUUUAAUGCCACCGCGAGAACGUCCCUUCCCGGCUCCCCGAAACUCCCUUCCUCUUUCCCAUACCCUGCCGUCGUAUGCCUGUAUCUACCAAAGAUCUGGGCAUUUAAUGCCGUCGCUUCGCCGACUAGGGCUUCCUCCCCUCCCGUAUGCCUGUAUCUACCACCAAAGAUGUGGCCAUUUAAUGGCGCCGCUCGGCCGGCUAGGGCUUCCUCCUUCCCGUACGCCUUGCCUUGCUGGAGAUUGGGGCAUUUAAUGCCCCAUUUCUCCGGAGAUGGUACGCCUGUAUCUACCACCAAUCUCUGCAAUUAAUGUUGCCGUGACAGUACGCCGCUCGGCGCCGGCGUGCUCCCCUUCUAUCCUCUCUCUUCCUUGACUUUGUUCUGGUACUGGUAUGUAUAUAUAUACACCAUUGCGAGGUAAGGUGCCAUGCCCAGUUGCUUCCGAACUUGCAGCUCUUACCUGCCAUCUCUAUUACUCUUCUUAUUGUCACUGCCUGUGGAAAGGAGGUCGGGCUCUCUGCAAGAUCCUCUGCUUACUUCUUAUAUUAUGAUGAAGCGUACCUAUGUAUAUGUUUGGAAUUCCUGGUGCUCGGAUGCUUCAAUGUCUAGUGGUGGUUUUCCAUAGGGCUCCUACUGCCCCCGCAUUCCCAGAUCUGAUGCUUUUUUGCCUUGAGAUUCUUUUCAUCUGGGUCUUGCUUGGAUUUCGAGUUCUGAAAAAAAUUUCCUUCAGCUUCUUUGGUUUUUUUUCCCCGGUGUCGCCUUCGUGGAUCUGAUGAUUUUUUUUCCUUGAGAUUCUUUUCAACUGGGUUUUGCAUGGAUUUCGAAUUCUGAAAAAAAAAAAAAGUUGCUUCAGCUUCUUUAGUUUUUUUUUUGUGUGGUUUGCUUUCGCUGGUAGAGGUUUUCUACUUUGGCUUUUUUUUUUGGGAUUUUUCCCGAAAUGGUUCUUUUGGCCUCGAAUUUGCUGUUGCUUCUCGUGAUCCUACUGGUGAGGCAAUAAUGCUUUGGCCAAUACUCGGAACUAAUCCUCUUUGCUAGGCUUGCCCCCGAAUGUUGCUAUUUUUACUAACUUUGGUCGCAAUGGCAUGGCAUCGAAUGGCCUCAUGGCCCGGAAGUUGCUAUUUUUACUAACUUUGGUCGCAAUGGCACGGUAGUGGAUGGCCUCAUGGCAAUCGGUGCAGCCUGCGGAAAAAAAAAUCUUGGGCUCUUUGUUUUAUUUUUUAUUUUUUAUCUUUAUUUUUCUUUCACUGGCAGAGAAUUUUUACUUAGUUUUCUCCUCUUUCUCCCCUUUCUUUUGCACCUAAUUUCUUCUCCUUACAUUUAGCUCUCUCAAUGUCUCGCCCUAAUUCUUAAAAUUCUGUCUCGGGUUUUCUAUGUUGUUGGUACAGGCAUGGAGGUGGUUGCUGUUUCGUUUAAGCAUUUGUUGCUCGAAAUCACAUAGAAAUUUUCUCUGUCUGUUCCAAAAUAUGGCUUUAUUGUGGACCCAUCAGGGCAGUUGAAUGCCUACGUCGAUGUUGAUGUUGAGCGUGGCGACGCUGUUAUAGAAACCAUACGUUCCUGGGGCUCUCCAGCGUAUAUUGUCGGCACAUCCGAAGAGGAUGCAGUCCUUAAUUGUAUCAACACUUUCUGGGAGGACCUUGGCUUCAAUGUUCGUGAUACUAAUUUCGACGAUCUUAAGGUUUACAGGGAUUUGUACCAGCAAUUAUCUGACUGAUAUAAUGCAUUGGUCACGAAGCACAAUACACUUAAGUGGGAUUACAAGUUUUUGAAAGAAUAUUACAGUAAAGCUAUAGAUGAGAGGGAUCGUUACUACGCCGAGCGUUCUGAGAUUCAUCAGAGCUUAGAGCGAGUUGUUGAUAUGAUUGCUCACCCUGGCAUGGUCAUCAAUGUCCCAGGUGAGGGAGCUGCGGAGGAGCCAUCUGCUGCACAGGAACCCUCUACUGCUUUCGAAUAGUUGGAGGACGUCUAAGCUAUUCCUUUUUUGUUUUGUGGGGCUUGGGGCUUCCAUCUGCUGUCUUCUUUUUUCAGUUUAUUCCCAUAUCCUGUGCUCUCCCACUGCCUUAAAAAAACCACAUCCUUUUGUUCCUGUUAGCUCCCGUGCCCUCAGAUGUUUAGUGUCUGCAUUACUCUUGCUUUUAACUUAAAUGUGGUGCUCUUUUUCUUUCUUAGUCCUUUUGUUUUAAAUGUGGAAAUGCAUUCAGAAUGCAGAUUGUAGAAACUAUUUGGAAUGCUCUAGAACACUAGAGAUGAAAAAAAAGAACUUGGAAAAAAAUUGGAAGAGCAUAACUACUUCGGUUUUUUCCUUCACUACAUUAGCUAUUUCCUUCUCUAGGUUGAUUGUUCCUACACUACACUAAGUGUUGAUUAUUUGGGUUGCAGUUAUAUUAAUUUCCCUUCACAAAAUUUACAGUUAUAUUACUUUCCCUUCAUAAAAUUUAUUCGGAUAAUUUCUAUGAUACACUGAUUUGCAGUUAUAUUACUUUCCCUUCAUAAAAUAUAUAGUGCACAAGUCCAUAACUAAUAUUUUUUUCAUACAUUAAAAUUACAGGUUUGCAGAAGAUGGUGGCCAGGACGGUAGCAACAAUGAAUAAAACUUUUGGACUUUCUAUAUUAUGCAUUUUACUAUGCACUUUGUUAAUCCAGUGCAAAUAAUAUAUAGGCAGUUCUUUUGUUAUAUCUUCAGACUUGAAUUAAUCUUUAAUAUUAGAAAUAUUUAUAGAGAUAUAUAUAUAUAUAUUUGUUGUUUAUCAUUUAUUAUUGUGUUUUAGUGUAAAUCUUUCUACCCGCCGCAAAGCGCGGGUCCUUAACUAGUCCUACACAAGUACACAAAUCCCAUAUAUAGUACAUCAUCAGUUACGUUCCAUGGAAGAAGUGCCUUUAUAAUAGUCACAUCACAUGACCUAUUUAAUCACAUUUUUUUAGAAAAUAAAUUAAAAAUAAAAAUAAAUCAUGAUAGGAGUGCAAUUUGAUUGGUUUAAAAUACUAUAACAAAAAUAUGCGGUUGCAUUUUAGGCGUUUUCCUUUCCAUGGCCCCCUUAGGUCCACCUAUAAUUGUCCGUCCAAAUUAUUUUAAUCGUUUUCUCAAAUCACUAUAUAUUGUGCAUCCUCCUAUUUAUCCAAAAAAUUUACAAAAAAAUAAAAUUUUAACCAAAUAAUUUACAAAAAAAAAGUUUUUAACAAAAUAAAUUCAUCUUUGUAUUUUAUUCGGAAAUAUCUAUCAUAUACUAUUUCAAAUUUUAAAUAGUUGCUACCUAUAAUAAUUAAAUAAAUUUUUUUUAUAUAUAUAUUGAAUAUUUUUCUAUAUCUUUUUAAAUUAUGACAAAUCUAAAAUUUAAAUAUAUAUUUUAAACUAAAAAUAUCAAAAUUUUAAUUCAUAUUUAAUUUAAAAUUUAAAAUUUGAUUUCGAUCCACUUUAUUUAAAAUAUGUUAAUUGUUAAUUCAAAAUUUAAUAUCCAAAAUUAAAUUUAAACCCAAAUUUUAAUUUUAAUGAAAAAAUUAAAUUUAAAUUAU